UGUUUACGUGUUUUCCUUUCCCAGGAAAGAUGAAAAAUAUUGCUCUUAAGUUAUUUUGCUGCUUCGAUGUUGUUGCAACAAUGCAAAAUGUUUUACUCAGAACCGUUUUGUUAAUAUAUUAUAUUUUGAAAUAUAUUGAUUUCGUGUGACAACGUUAAGUAUUUCAACCACCCGUAAGAAGUCCUGCGGAUCCGUGAACCUAGGCACCAAAAUGGGAUUUAUAGGCAACAACCUUUUCAAUGCAAAUAAAAAUGAGCAUCUUGAUGAAAGACAUUAGCUUUUGUUCUUUAUAACUGAGAAACAUCUAUGGAUGAAGAAUAGGUUAAUGAAGUGAGCAAAUUUUUUGAAGCAUUCUUUGUCUAUGUCGAUCCUUUGUCAUGAGCUUAAGGAAUGCCUACUAAUAAGAUCAUGUAAAUCAGGCUGUACAAAAGAAAACCUAGAAAGUACAAGCGUGAGUGAAAAUAAAUUUCCCCUGGCUACUAUGAACAAGCUGGGCAGAGCAGCAGCACAGACCCUGGUGACAACUGUAUUGUAAAUGCAUGAGGUGCUCUAACUUGUGGCAUAGAAAUGUAUUUGAAAUAUUGUACUUUGUUUAUAUACAUUUUGUGUAUAUUAAUUUGCUAAAACAUUCUCCCUACUAUAGUGUCAAUUUUGCCUAACAAUAAAACAAUCAAAUCAGAUUAGUUCUUAUUCAUAGAAAAUAUAUGUAUAUCUUAAGUCUUAUACUUGUAUGUAUAGUUUUCCACAACAGUUUCUUAAACUUUGUAACA